UACGAGGGGUCCUAGCGUUGUUCGGAAUCACUGGGCGUAAAGCGUAUGUAGGCGGCUCUUUAAGUCGGUUGUGAAAUCCCAUGGCUUAACCAUGGAAUUGCAUUCGAAACUGGAGAGCUUGAGUUGUGGGAGAGGAUUGGUAGAAUACCUGGUGUAGUGGUGAAAUAACGUAGAUAUCAGGUGGAAUACCGGUGGCGAAAGGGCGGCCAAUUGGCCCCAACUACGU
rnacentral:rRNA from 1 species